CAGCCGCCGCGGUAAUACAGAGGGUGCGAGCGUUAAUCGGAUUUACUGGGCGUAAAGCGUGCGUAGGCGGCUAAUUGAGUCGGAUGUGAAAUCCCCGAGCUUAACUUGGGAAUUGCAUUCGAUACUGGUUAGCUAGAGUGUGGGAGAGGAUGGUAGAAUUCCAGGUGUAGCGGUGAAAUGCGUAGAGAUCUGGAGGAAUACCGAUGGCGAAGGCAGCCAUCUGGCCUAACACUGACGCUGAGGUACGAAAGCAUGGGGAGCAAACAGGAUUAGAUACCCUGUAGUCCCUGUCUCUUAUACA
rnacentral:rRNA from 1 species